rnacentral:rRNA from 1 species
UGAGAUUUUAACACGAAGUGAGUGGCGAACGGGUGAGUAACACGUGGGUAACCUGCCCAGAAGUAGGGGAUAACACCUGGAAACAGAUGCUAAUACCGUAUAACAGAGAAAACCGCAUGGUUUUCUUUUAAAAGAUGGCUCUGCUAUCACUUCUGGAUGGACCCGCGGCGUAUUAGCUAGUUGGUGAGGUAAAGGCUCACCAAGGCAGUGAUACGUAGCCGACCUGAGAGGGUAAUCGGCCACAUUGGGACUGAGACACGGCCCAGACUCCUACGGGAGGCAGCAGUAGGGAAUCUUCCACAAUGGACGCAAGUCUGAUGGAGCAACGCCGCGUGAGUGAAGAAGGGUUUCGGCUCGUAAAGCUCUGUUGUUAAAGAAGAACGUGGGUAAGAGUAACUGUUUACCCAGUGACGGUAUUUAACCAGAAAGCCACGGCUAACUACGUGCCAGCAGCCGCGGUAAUACGUAGGUGGCAAGCGUUAUCCGGAUUUAUUGGGCGUAAAGCGAGCGCAGGCGGUCUUUUAAGUCUAAUGUGAAAGCCUUCGGCUCAACCGAAGAAGUGCAUUGGAAACUGGGAGACUUGAGUGCAGAAGAGGACAGUGGAACUCCAUGUGUAGCGGUGAAAUGCGUAGA